CACGUAGUUAGCCGGUGCUUAUUCUUCAGGUACCGUCAUUAGCAAAGGAUAUUAGCCUCUACCGUUUCUUCCCUGACAAAAGAGCUUUACAACCCGAAGGCCUUCUUCACUCACGCGGCAUUGCUGGAUCAGGCUUGCGCCCAUUGUCCAAAAUUCCCCACUGCUGCCUCCCGUAGGAGUCUGGACCGUGUCUCAGUUCCAGUGUGGCUGGUCGUCCUCUCAGACCAGCUACUGAUCGUCGCCUUGGUGAGCCUUUACCUCACCAACUAGCUAAUCAGAUAUCGGCCGCUCCAGGAGCACAAGGCCCGAAGGUCCCCUGCUUUCAUCCUUGGAUCGUAUGCGGUAUUAGCGUAACUUUCGCUACGUUAUCCCCCACUCUUGGGUACGUUCCGAUAUAUUACUCACCCGUUCGCCACUCGCCGCCAGGUUGCCCCGCGCUGCCGUUCGACUUGCAUGUGUAAAGCAUGCCGCCAGCGUUCAAUCUGAGCCAGGAUCAAA
rnacentral:rRNA from 1 species